AACGCUAGCUACAGGCUUAACACAUGCAAGUCGAGGGGCAGCAUGGUCUUAGCUUGCUAAGGCCGAUGGCGACCGGCGCACGGGUGAGUAACACGUGUCCAACCUGCCGUCUACUCUUGGACAGCCUUCUGAAAGGAAGAUUAAUACAAGAUGGCAUCAUGAGUCCGCAUGUUCACAUGAUUAAAGGUAUUCCGGUAGACGAUGGGGAUGCGUUCCAUUAGAUAGUAGGCGGGGUAACGGCCCACCUAGUCUUCGAUGGAUAGGGGUUCUGAGAGGAAGGUCCCCCACAUUGGAACUGAGACACGGUCCAAACUCCUACGGGAGGCAGCAGUGAGGAAUAUUGGUCAAUGGGCGAUGGCCUGAACCAGCCAAGUAGCGUGAAGGAUGACUGCCCUAUGGGUUGUAAACUUCUUUUAUAAAGGAAUAAAGUCGGGUAUGCAUACCCGUUUGCAUGUACUUUAUGAAUAAGGAUCGGCUAACUCCGUGCCAGCAGCCGCGGUAAUACGGAAGGUCCAGGCGUUAUCCGGAUUUAUUGGGUUUAAAGGGAGCGUAGGCCGUCUGUUAAGCGUGUUGUGAAAUGUAGAUGCUCAACAUCUGAAUUGCAGCGCGAACUGGCAGACUUGAGUGUGCGCAACGUAGGCGGAAUUCGUGGUGUAGCGGUGAAAUGCUUAGAUAUCACGAAGAACUCCGAUUG
rnacentral:rRNA from 1 species